CAAAGGCACUAACUACUCUGGUGUGAGAUGGCAUAAUGGGGGGAGCUGCGUAUGUGAGGUACUUGCCAUUUUCAACACUAAGAAGAGAGAAUCUAAAGACUUCAAAGUUUUCUUCACCCUGCAGUGAUGAUUUAUUUUCAAAGAACUCCCACAAGAUGAAGCAAAGGAGAAAGUGGAGACAAGGAGGUAUAGGGUCAAGAGGCUGGAAUCAGCAGCAAAAAUGACUGGUUUUAAGGCUGCGUUCCACCCAUCACUCACACCAGGAUACUGGGCUAGUCACUUAACGUCCCUGAGCCUCAAUGUCUCCAUCUGUGAAAUACACAUAAACACAGUGCCUGCCUAACCUGCUCACAGGUAAUUGUGAAGAACAAAUAAGAUAAGGGCUACAUGAGCAUAACUAAUGGCAUUAAUAAUUCCAGGAGCUGCUGCAUGAGGUGAAACAGUUGGAAAAAGACAAUCCAUCAUUUGUGUGCUCUCAAGGGAAACAGGUUUCAUGGACUGGUGGACAGACUUUGUAGGGAAUCAAAUCAUUCACACUGUUUAAGAACAUUGUUGAAAUGUUAUUUGUAUACAGUAAUGUAGCAAAAAAAGUACAAAACAAAAUGGAUUAAGGAAUAUUCUAAAUAGAAGUGAAGACAAAUACUUUGUGAAAAAUAAAAUUCUUAUUCCUUCUUUGUUCAUUAAGACCUGUACUUAAA